GAGCACCAGCCCCAGGAAGGGCUGAGAGCCUCACCUGCCCUCCAGGUACCAGCACAGCAGUCAAAAGGUCUGUGCAAAGAGCUGAGAGUUCUCUGAGAAGCAGCUCAAACCACGGCUGGUGCGGAAAUCGAGCUCGAACUCAAAUAAUCGGACUCCAAAAGAGUGGUUUCGUUUUCACACUUGUCAGAAGCCUGAUUUCCUGGAAUUGCCCCACUGACUCCAGAAGAGGAAGCCGCACCCACCGGAGAGCCGGGGCUGCUUAAAGUGGGGCUGGGAUCGGCUUCUGGCUUCCCGGGAGCUGCGGGGCUCGGAGGGAGAAGGAGAGAAGGAUUUCAGGCCUUUCCUUCCUGAUUCCUCCUGAGUUCUCCAGGGCUUCCCAUCACCUUCUCCACACCCCACCAUGUGCCCCAGGCCUGCCGCUGUGCUGUGCUGUGUCCCCUGAGCUGGGGCCCUCGGCUGCCGGUGUCUGCUGGGAAGCCAAGGCUGGGAGAAACGAGAGCAUCUGCUGAGAGGUGGGUGAGGGGAAUCAGAGCCCACAGGCCUUGCACAGAUUGCCCAAAUCGGCAGGAACUCCCCAGGGAAAGCUGCCCCUGAAGGCUCUGGAAGGCUGCAGGGGCCCUUGGAUCUACCCCCGAGUCCAAGCCCCUGAGAUCAAUACCUGUGUUGGUAAGGGAGUUGUGGCCUUGGUGGGACAGAAGCUGAAUGGUCAGAAGAAUUUUUUGCACUGAAUAAAUCGCUAGAGUAUCCAAGUGAA